AUAAUAACAACUCACUUUUAUAACUCUUUGUCCACCUACGUGUGAUAGGCUUUCGAUUAUAUUCAUUGUAUUUUGUUGAAAAUACAUUCAUUUGUGCAACUUCUGAUAUAAAAGAUGACAGAAAUAAGACUUGCUGUUGUGUUACUAUAUUUCUAUUAUUGUGUAGGACAGGAACAGCAAUGUUCCCGCUACCACUAUGAAGAACAGAUACUGGCAAAGGUUGUAAAGCUGGAACACAGACUUGAACUGUUGGAGGCUCGGAAUAGUAUUGGAGGUAGGUGACAGACAGCUGAAAGUUCAGACUGAUAUUGAAGGUAGUUGACUGACAGCUGGAUGCUGCUCAUAAUAAAAUUGGAGGAAGGUGGUUGCCAACUGGAAUCUCGGAUUAAUAUUGGAGAUAGGUGAUUGACAACAUGAGGCGCGGAAUAGAUCUGGUGGAAGGUGAUGCUUGGAGGUAGGUGAUUGACAGCUGGAAUGUCGGACUAAUACUCAGAAAUGAAUAGAAAAGCAAAGUUACCAACAGUGUAUGCAAUUUAAAUUACUCUUGGAUAAUAUGCAGGUCAAACAGCUAACUCGAUUUGUCCGGAUACGUGGAUACGUUUCCGAGGUUCAUGUUACCUUUUCCCACGUGGAGAUGUCAACUUUUCCGCCGCAGAGUACUUCUGUGUCCAGCAUGGUUCUCAUAUAGUGCAUGUUGAGAGUGAAUCAGAAAACAACUUUCUGAAAAAUCAUAUGAGAGAUUUGAAAGAAUCAAGUUACUGGAUUGGACUUACUGAUACUGAUGUAGAAGGCACCUGGAGUAUGGUCUGGUACAGGAAAAUACGCGCUGUUUACGGACUGGAGCAGUCACAGUCCAAAUAAUUAUGACGGGAAUCAACACUGUGUUUUCAUGGAGUUUGCACAUGACUUUGAAUGGAAUGAUAUGACAUGUAAUGCUAAAUACAGAGCAGUGUGUGAAAAGAAUCUGUUAAGCUGAACUAAUACUUAGGCCAUUGACAUACUGGCUAUUUUUUCUUAUGUCAUAUUCUGAAAAGUAAACAGAUUAGAUACA
rnacentral:misc_RNA from 1 species